rnacentral:misc_RNA from 1 species
UUUCCGUAGGUGAACCUGCGGAAGGAUCAUUAUCGAGUUUUGAAACGGGUUGUCGCUGGUCUCAUAAAUUGGGGCAUGUGCACGCCUGGCUCAUCCACUCUUUCAACCUCUGUGCACUUAUUGUAGGUUGGUAAUAAAGUUGGUUUCAAAUCAGCUGGAAGACCUUCCUAUGUUUUAUUACAAACGCUUUAGUUAUAGAAUGUAUCUUUGCGUCAACGCAUUUAUAUACAACUUUCAGCAACGGAUCUCUUGGCUCUCGCAUCGAUGAAGAACGCAGC